UUCUGAGGGAGAACUUAUUGUACUAGUGAGCAUAUGCAUAGGUGUUGUACUAUCUUGGGCGCACAAGUUCGCGUAGAGCUCAGACGUUGGUGGCGGCGUGGCAGGCUAAUCUGCCGCUUCCACAUGAGGAGUCGUGAGAUUGGCACAUCUCAAUCAAAAGUCGCCGCUCUGUCAUUACGGCAUUGCAUUUAGGUAUUCACUAGAUUAGAAGACAAAUUUAGCUAGCACUGGGAUCCAUAGGGCCUUGAAUCUUUUCAAUCCUUGCCAGGACAGUUCUUGCCAUGAACAAUGGGUGUAUCUCUAUGGUCUUAGUACAAAAGCUGAAAUAGGGAACAAGAUGUGCCUUGCUGUGUGGAGUGUUGGGUAUCUUUUGCACUUGCUCCAUCAGUUGCAGAAACUAUAGACCAAAAGCAGCAUACUGUUACUAUUUCAUAUCAUCUAUUGAUGAUUUGUUUUUUUAUAAUUGAAUUGGCGAAUGAUGAAAAGGUGCGAUGUUCAAGGAUUUUUGCUAGAUAAUUUGUUGAUCCAGUUUAAUUUUAGUAGGCAUCUGGGUACUGCUUAUGAAUUGAUAGUGCACCUUGCUUAAAUCCUACAGUAUUAUUUUUACUUUUCUGAAACAAUCUUCUCGAGGUUUCAUACUAACAUGUGGCUUGGCUUGUACCAAUGAUAAAGUCCUGCAUAUUGCCCAAUCCUAAGUUGUGCUAUCUUUUUGUAGUGAUAGCUGUGUUGGGCCGGGUUGCAAUGGAUGCAUUCAACACGUUUCAAGUGCCUUGUAUGUCGAUCUGGAGCCACUGUAAGUAGAUCUGAGUACCAUCCAGAUCUGAGUUUCCUUGUGUUUCCACCCAACAACUUAGUAGAUGAAGUUUAUUGUCUACAGUAUAUUUUAUACUCUUAGAUAAAUUUACUUUCCGUUUCAGUAAUCUUUUGCCAUAGCGUACUGACCUGCAGAGGGCACCUCUCAUAAUCUGGAUUAAGAAACUUCUUCAUGGCUAUACUGAUUAUAACUGCAUCUAUAAUAGUGCUUCAGGGACUGCAUACUACUUCGAUUGUACUUGUAAGCCAUUGUCCAUACCAUGUUCGCUUUGAUAUGCUUAUUAUUUUUGCACUAGGACUGAACUCUUUGUUUUCAGUUUGCCUCAUAUCUGCAGCUACUUGAUAUUCAGAAUUGCACUGCCAUACCUGCAAUGAAUUAAAAACACCUGUUACAUGCUUAGUGAAAGUACAAUAGGUAAUGAAAAGAAUGAUCAACUAUUUUUUGUUGCAGUUAGGAUUUAGUCAAGCUUGAUCUCCCUCUGCAUAAAGCUUAUUCUGAUGUGGAGUUUCAAGGUUCCAAUAAACACAUGAUACACUUUUAAAAGGCAUAGAGGUUUCUUCAAAAUUUAGGCAAUUACUCAAAUUUGAGGAGUUAUCAUAUAGUAUGUCAAAAUGAAACUGCUAAUUAUUAAGUUCCAUAUGUAUUUUGUCUCACUUAUCAUCGAUAGAAGGCAUUGAAAAGUAGUUCACAAAUAAGUGAUGGACAAGUCUAAUUUAUUUUCAAGAGGGCAUCAUGUUGACAAGAAAGUUGCUGCUCACCCUAUUUUGACAACUAGAAAAAUGCAACUCUAUUUGAGAAAGUAAAUGUAGGAUUUUUUAGGGUGCGUCUAUUCAGCAAACAUGUGUUAAUUUGAAAGGUAGAAGCAAUGUUUGGUCUGUGGUAGAUAGUUGAGUGUGUUUAACUUAUGAUUUUUUACAAACAGUAUGUAGAAUGCCUCCUGGCAUUGGUUCUCUGACCUUGGAUCAAUUUACUCCGCGCUUAUAUGAUAUAUUGCUUCUAGCCGAUGAAAUUUAGUCCACAUUUGUGUGCGUAUGCAUAUCCUAUACUGGAAAUUUGUGCUUGCCCAUUAUAUAUUAGAAGUAGACAAGAAAAUGUCCAUAGUAAUAAACUUGUGGUCACAGGACUGCUAGCUUAAAGUUUGUUAGAUUAUGUAAAUGGGUAAUUUUGUUGUCUGCUCUUUAGGUUUCCAUAGUAUGAGCUGGUGCUAUUUCUUUUAAACUGCCAUCUAAACUGAACAAUGGGGCUUCAUGUAUAAACUGGAGCAAUAAUAUCCUAUACUUCUCAUGUAAUGGAUCAAUUGUGUGUCUUGGUCUUUCCUGUUUUCUUUGGUUUUGCAGCCUAGAAUUUUUUACAUGCGCAUAUAUAGCUACUUAAUGAACUGAGUUCCUUUAUGAUGUGUGGCAGACCAUAUUUACUGAUAUGACUUACUUUCUCAUUCAAUAUAAUGGUAGGUGUAGCAAUGAAAGGCAUAUAUAUUUUACUACAAGCAUCCUAGCUUUCUCAUCUUAUUAGUGACUCACUUUCGAAACAUAUGUAUUGGUAGUUUUUAUCUCUAUGCUUUUGCCUUCUACAUAAUGGAUUGCAAUGUUUUUGUCUUUAUCCAAUCCUUCCUGCGCCCAUGGGGUCUCCUGCAGGGACUGCUUUGGCUGUUCCAGAGGCCGUACACACAUAUAAAUACACAACUACUCCCUCGAUCGAAGCCCCAGCCCAAUUGUGUCGUUUCGUCGUGCUUGACAUUGGUGUCUUGCCAUUCUACCGAAGCUGUGGAAAUCUCGCUGUUCUGCCAACCUGGUAGGAAUUUCUCCGUACUGUCGACUUCACCGGAAUUACAUUCGCUAGUGUAGCCAAGGCACAUUGUUCAAACUGCUCAAGCAAUACUGAUUUGGAGUUGUUUUGGUCAAGCGGUUGAACUGAACCAUGCUACUGUACAGUAGCCAAAAGGAUAGUCAGUUUGUUUUCCUGACCCCUGUGAUCUGAAGCGAAUAAACUGAACCAUGCUACUGUAUUACACAAUAACCCAAAGUUGUCUGGUAGAUAUGAGUAUCAUCAUAUAAUUUUGUUUCUAGAAUAUGUAAUAGGUAACCAGCAAUGUUGUUGUCAGUUUACAAGAAUGCUGGCGUUGUUUGAAUGCCUAUGUACUUACUGGAAUUAGUUUGGAUGCAUAUACAGUACCUUGAUGUUGAAUUUACAAGGUCCUGAUGGUGGAUUUGUUGUCUCAUAGAUUUUGUAAUUUACAGUUGCUCCACAAAUUUGGUGAUUGUUGUUUGUACAGUGAGCUGAUAUAGAAUGCUUGAUCGCACAAACUAAUCUGGGCCGCAUAUUUACAUUACUCUUAUGUUGAAUUUACAAUAUGGUGAUGGUGGAUUUACACUGUCCUAUAGAUUUUCUAUUUAUUGUAGUAGCUCCAUAUAGUGUGUCAUUGUUGUUCGUACAGUGAAUUCAUAUAGAAUGCUUGAUCACAUGAAUUUGUCUGAAUGUAUAUUACAGUGGUCUUUAAUUAAAAACAAUAAAACUGCACCUAAUCCCUGCCUCUCACGAUUUAAGCGUUCCUGGCCGUUUGAUUUAGUCUGGUGGCAAUCCUGAUCGUUCGAUCAUUCCUUGAUGCCAUGUUUACCUCGAAAUGGGCUACAGACCGUAAGGGCGUCUACUCCCGUGACUUUUUUGGAGCUUUGUGGUUGAUUGGGCCUCCAUGCUCAGCCCACGAUCGCUAACGGACACAGGGCUCUCGUCUCUAUAAUAAAAAA
rnacentral:lncRNA from 1 species